rnacentral:siRNA from 1 species
CUGUAAAGUUCUGAUAGUGUC